AUGUUCCCUAGUGCCCAGUCACAGCAUGAACAACAGCACCAUAAAGACUGGGACCCAUCAGAGCCCGUGGGUGCAUGUUUGGGCAGGGCUUCAAAGAAGAAUGUUUGCAUCAUAAGCAGGGGACAGCUCUCAGCAGAAACUUUGGACCCAGUGAUGCUGGAGAGGCAAGCACAGCCUUCUGAAAUGGGAGUCAGCAACCACGAGCAUGACAACCAAUCUGAGAGUGACUUGCUCUUCUGGUUCUCCAAGCUUGGAGUGUUUGUCACAGUCCCAGGGGAGAGAAGCGAGGCUUCUGAAUGCAGAUUCUGCAAAAAUUGCAUGUGGGGCAGCCAGAAAGCCAGUGCCACCAAGACCCAUGGAGCACCCCCUGCAGAGAAGGAUCAGCUGCAGGUGUGUGACUAUGGCAGAAGAAAAAGCUUUGCACCUGAGCUCAGAAGUCCCUAAUCUUUGGGUUCUGCUGUGUUUCAAUGUUUCUAGAAAUAAUACUGCUGCUAUUUUAACUUUGCAAAGCCCAUCGCAGUGCCAGAAUCUGGAAGGAGGUUAACAUCAUAUCCCUCACUUACCUCUGGGAUCCAUGAGGAACCCCCAAAAACUGGCCCAAUGCAUGUGCUUUGAGAGUGUACAG
rnacentral:lncRNA from 1 species